UACGUAGGUCCCGAGCGUUGUCCGGAUUUAUUGGGCGUAAAGCGAGCGCAGGUGGUUUAAUAAGUCUGAUGUAAAAGGCAGUGGCUCAACCAUUGUGUGCAUUGGAAACUGUUAGACUUGAGUGCAGGAGAGGAGAGUGGAAUUCCAUGUGUAGCGGUGAAAUGCGUAGAUAUAUGGAGGAACACCGGUGGCGAAAGCGGCUCUCUGGACUGUAACUGACACUGAGGCUCGAAAGCGUGGGGAGCGAACGGG
rnacentral:rRNA from 1 species